GCCGACGUGGCGGAAUGGCAGACGCGCUGCGUUCAGGUCGCAGUCCGCUUACGCGGGUGAAGGUUCAAGUCCUUUCGUCGGCACCA
rnacentral:tRNA from 1 species